ncrna:unclassified sequences c-di-GMP-II-GAG riboswitch
CCGUGACGAGGGGCUUUGACGCGCGGCCCAUACUCAGGCCGCCGGGACCGCGCCGAGCCACUGGCGAGACCGACCGCGCCGUGU